GUAUAACUUUUAUAGGUUACAAAAAAUGCACCUGAUUCAACAUUCUAAAACGAAUUCAAAGGUUUGUGAAAAAUGACAUAGACCUGUAAAAGGCAAAGCUGAUGAACACCAGCAGUCCCAACUCGAAAGUAAAUUCAAACUUCCAGGUCUACAAUAAUGUGCACAAGUUGGAGAAAUAAAGAUGACAAGCGUGCACAUACCCCCCCAAAGAGGGCCAGCAACAGCCUGCUCAAGUUUAUUCAAUAAUGAUCCUUCCGCAGGUUCACCUACGGAAA
rnacentral:misc_RNA from 1 species